rnacentral:pre_miRNA from 1 species
CAUUGUCUUCACGAUGUUGGACGCGAUAUUGAAAGCGUUAACAUCGUGUUAGGCUAAGG